CAGUUGCAAGGCUAGAUUAUUUAAGGACCUGGAGACUAUGUCACCUUGAUGAUUUAAAUAGGCAAUGGCUGUUGUACUAUCCAGGUUUGGACGGAAAACGGAGAGGAACUAUAGUUGCAGUCUGUGCAUUUUCAGAUAGGCAUUGGCAACUGUGGUGGUGCAGGAUGACAUUAAGCUCAAGAGGCACUGAAUUGAGUGAGCCCUCUGCUUGGGAGAAGCCUGGAAGACCACAAUUAGGGAGGAGUUCGAGGGGACACAUUCUUCAGGCAGUUUCCUCAGAUCCAUAAUAGGACAGAGGCCAUAAUGUUUCUGAACCUGGAAGUACCUUGAAUAGAAUCGAGAGUAUAUAUAAUCAAGUGGAACAGAUUCAAUGGCCCCUUUCUGAAGCUGCCAAAGGUUCAAGAGCAAGUAUAAACAGCAACGGGGAAAGCAGACAUCCUUGUGUCGUAUUGAUGAUAUAUUGUAUUGAUGAUACAUUUUGAAGACAAGGAUCCAUUGACAAUAAUUUUUGCUGAUUGCUGUUGGUAUAUACUACGAAUCCAGGAUAAAAAAAUGAGGGCCACAGUUCAUUUUCUCCAACACUGAGAACAAGAAGGGCCAUUCCAAACUGUCAAAGGCUUUUUCGGCAUCUAGGAAAAUCAUAGCUGCUUUUGUACGUGUCAUGGUUACUUUAUCAAUUGCAUUCAAAACAUAUCUUAUAUUAUCUUUCAUGAGUCUUUUCGGGAGAAAACCAGAUUGGUCAGUAUGGAUUAUUUCAGACAGGAAAUUCCUUAAUCUUGCUGCCAAGAUUGAAGUAAAAAUUUUGUAAUCCACAUUUAAGAGGAAUAUAGGUCUAUAUGAUUCUGGUCGUGUUGGGUUUUUCCCUUCUUUAUGAAGUAAGGAAAUGAAUGCUUCUUGCCAAGAAACCGGUAAGGUGUAAUGAGAUAAUAUCGCAUUCAUUACUUCUGUUAAAGGUCCAAUUAAUUUGUCCUGAAACGUUUUGUAAUACAAUGAAGAUAAUCCAUCCGAGCCUGGAGAAUUAUUUUUAAGAUUAAGGAAUGUUCAUACUUUGGAAAGGCCACUUCUCAACUUGGAACAACAAUCAAAUCACCUAAAGGAAGAAAGAGUCUCUUUUUGACUGAGCUGGGCUACCAGUUGGUUGAUGCUGAGUUGAGAAGACAGAUGCUUGAGGUCUAGCACCUGAACCAGUCAAUCAGAGCUGCAAUGAGGGUUCUGGACUACAAAUUCCCAGAUCCCACCAAUCUGCAAACUGGGGGGAAAGGGAUGAUAUAGGUUUUGCCCAAGUACAUUAGACCACACAUCUCGCAUAAAAUGUGAUGACCACCAUAGAUUUGCUAGCCCACUACAAUGCAGCUAUGUACUGACAGUAAAAUUUAAAAAGGGUUGAUCUGUGUUUUCUGACUUAAGUUUUUUCCUGAGUUAAUGUAAAUAAUUUAAUAUGGUUAAUGUAUUUUUUCUAA